CACCCCGGCCCCACGUGCAGUUUCCGAGGGUGGGCAGUGAGCUAUCUCUCUCUCUCUCCCCCAUACCUUUUUCUCUCUCCACUCCCCCGGUCGUCUUCAACCUCUGUCUCCCUCGCCGGCCACCCUCUCUCCCUCUUCUAGCCCUCUCUCUCUGUGUCUUCCUCGAUCUCUCUCCACUCUCUCUCUCUCUCUCUGGAUCCGGAUCUGACUCUGAGGCAACCGUUCUCUCCCCCCCCCCCUCUCUCUCUCUCUCUCCCUCUCCCUGCUUCUAUUUCUCUCUCUCUCUCUCUCUCUCUCUCUCUCUCUCUCUCCGCACCGUCUUUCCCCUGUUGCCGUAGUCUUUCCUCGAGCUCCCGCAUCCCCGGAUCCAGACCAGCGCCGCAUCCGAGUUUAUCAUCGGCAUCGGCGUCGACAUCGGCGACCGUUAGGAGUGCCGCCUUCGUUCAGAUAUCUUCUUCUCCACUAAGAUAUGUAAUUUACUGAUAUGGGGAUGAUUUGGAUCCUAGUAAUCCGUGGGCAGCAAAAUAUUUUUACGAAGGAAACAUUUGUCUCCUCAAGGAGGUUGAUCUGCUAGCAAGAAAUUAUUUACAUAUAUGCAAAUGUUGGUGACCAUGAAUGCCUGUUUUCUUGUUACAAGUAGAACAAAUGUCAAUGUUUAUCCUCAGUUGUUAGAAAGUAAAAAAAAAGUUUUUU